rnacentral:lncRNA from 1 species
UGUCUCUGAAUAAUCCAUUCCAUAAGUUUGAGCAUAACCUUUUGCAACUAGACGAGCUUUUAAACGAGCGAGAGAGCCAUCUAGAUUAACCUUAAUCGUGAAUACCCAUUUGCACCCAAUUACCUUUUUGUUGGCAGGUAAAUUUACAAGAGUCCACGUACUAUUCUGAUCAAGAGCUUUCAUUUCCUCAACCAUAGCAUUACGCCAUCCAGAGUAGGCCAAAGCUUCACCUACUGUCUUAGGAAUAGAAAUUGAAUCGACAGUAGCAACAAAUGAACGAGAAGCUGUACAUGUAUGCUUACCUUUUCGGAUAGCAAUGGGAAGGUUAUCGUCAAGAGAUUCAGUGGAUGAAUCUGUCGCCGAAUCGGACGGUUCAGGAACAGGAUCUGAGCGAUGUCGCCGUUGAUAUACUUGAAUAACAGGAGGUCUAUCGGGUACGGGAGGUUGUUGAAGAUCAACUUGAGGUUCCUGAGAGGCAAUAGGUUGUUUAGAUGUAGAGGCUUGCUCAGGUGCUGGUGAAUCGGAAGUAGUGGGUGGUUGUGUCUGUGGGGUUAUAGAAUGGGGAUAGAUGAGGAACUCAUCAUCUUCCCUUAAUGGAUGAGGAUCUGAUACAGGGAAGAAAGGAACAUCUUCAUGGAAUGUGACAUCUCGAGAGACAAAGUAUCGCUGAAGAGUAUGGGAGAAACAUCGAUAACCCUUUUGGACACGACAAUAGCCAACAAAGACACAUUUAACCGAUUUUGGAUCUAACUUGGUAGGAUGAGAAUGUGUAUCAUGGAUGAAACAGGUACUUCCAAAUAUUUUAGGGGGGAUUGGAUAUAAAGGUUUUUCAGGACACAGAACCAAAAAUGGGAUAUCUCCAUUUAGAACAAUCGAGGGCAUCCGAUUAAUAAGAAAGCAAGCUGUGGAUACCUCAUCAGCCCAAAAUGGUUUUGGAACUGUCAUUUGAAACAAAAGUGCUCUUGCUACUUCAAGAAGAUGCCUGUUCUUACGUUCAGCAACUCCAUUUUGGGCUGGGGUAUGAAUACAUGAUGACUCGUGAACUAUGCCAUUUUGCAAACAGUAAGAUCGAAAGGAUUCUGAAAAAUAUUCUUUUGCAUUGUCACUUCUCAAGGUUCGAAUAGAGACAUUAAAAUGAGUUUUUACUUCAGCAUUUAAGGAGCAAAAAUGAGAAAACACUUCAGAACGAUUUUUCAUAAAAUAAAGCCAAGUUACACGGGAAUAGUCAUCAAUAAACGUAACAAAGUACUUAAAACCAAGUUUAGACGGAACAGGACACGGACCCCAAACAUCAGAAUGGACCAACUCAAACGGAGACGUAGCCCUCUUAUUGACUCUAGGACUUAGGUAAACACGUUGGUGUUUAGCAAGCUGACAUGACUCACACUGCAAAGAUGACAAAUGAGAAAAUUCAUGACACAACUUCUUGAGACUUUGGAGGGAUGGAUGACCUAAUCGACAAUGUGCUUCAAACGGUGACGAAUUUGAGCAGGCUAAAGAGUAAGGUGUCUGAGUUUCAAGUAUAUAUAGGCCAUCAGAUUCCCGUCCUUUACCAAUAAUCCUCUUCGUUGACAGAUCCUGAAAAACACAAGAAUCGGGAAGAAAUAAGGCACUACAAUUCAAACCACGAGUAAGUUUACUAUCAGAUAGUAAAUUAAACGGAAAAUUGGGAAGGUUCAAAAUGGAGGAUAAAUGGAUUGACGGGGUAAUGCUUGCAUUACCAGAACCAAACACUUUUGGAGUUGACCCAUCAGCAAUAGUCACAUAAGGUGACGGCGCAUGUUUUUGAAAAUCAAAAAGGAGCUGAGGAUCACUAGUCAUGUGUUCGGAUGCUCCAGAAUCAAUAACCCAUU